rnacentral:lncRNA from 1 species
GUUUUAGUAUUGUGUCAAUUGUGUUCUGAGUCUUGUGUUAAUCUACACACUAGACUAGGAACUGUGUGUCUUUGUGUUGUAAUAUCUCUGGAGCUUCUAAGCAAGGAGAUAGUGUGUGUAUACCAUUCCAAAGCUUUUAAGUACGGAAGUGGUGUGUGUUUUAUGAAGUGUGUCUUCACCUGUUGAAUCUUAAAGUGUACGAUCACAGUGGC